AGAGUUUGAUCCUGGCUCAGGAUGAACGCUAGCGGCAGGCCUAAUACAUGCAAGACGAGCGGUAAUUCAAAUAGCAAUAUUUGGACUAGAGCGUCGUAAGGGUGCGUAACACGUAUGCAAUCUGCCCGGAACAGGAGGAUAGCUCGGGGAAACUCGAAUUAACACUCCAUAAGACAGUGGUGUGGCAUCACACAGCUGUCAAAUCUACGGAGGUUCCGGAUGAGCAUGCGGAUGAUUAGCUAGUUGGCGGUGUAACGGACCACCAAGGCAAUGAUCAAUAGGGGAACUGAGAGGUUGAUCCCCCACACUGGCACUGAGAUACGGGCCAGACUCCUACGGGAGGCAGCAGUAGGGAAUAUUGGACAAUGGGUGCAAGCCUGAUCCAGCCAUGCCGCGUGCAGGAAGAAGGCUUUCUGAGUUGUAGACUGCUUUUGCCAGGGGAUAAAAUACGGGUGCGCCCGGAAUUGAAGGUACCUGGUGAAUAAGCCACGGCUAACUACGUGCCAGCAGCCGCGGUAAUACGUAGGUGGCAAGCGUUGUCCGGAUUUAUUGGGUUUAAAGGGUGCGUAGGCGGUCUUCUAAGUCAGUUGUGAAAUACUUCAGCUUAACUGGAGAGGUGCAAUUGAUACUGGAAGACUUGAGUACUGAUGAGGUAGGCGGAAUGGACGGUGUAGCGGUGAAAUGCUUACAUAUCGUCCAGAACACCGAUAGCGAAGGCAGCUUACUAAGGAGUAACUGACGCUGAGGCACGAAAGUGUGGGGAUCAAACAGGAUUAGAUACCCUGGUAGUCCACGCCAUAAACGAUGAGAACUAGACGUUGAGAGGGUAAGCCUCCCAGUGUCGCAGCUAACGCGAUAAGUUCUCCGCCUGGGGAGUACGGCCGCAAGGUUGAAACUCAAAGGAAUUGACGGGGACCCGCACAAGCGGUGGAGCAUGUGGUUUAAUUCGAUGCAACGCGAAGAACCUUACCUGGCCUUGACAUGUCGAGAAUCCCGAAGAGAUUUGGGAGUGCCGCAAGGAACUCGAACACAGGUGCUGCAUGGCUGUCGUCAGCUCGUGUCGUGAGAUGUUGGGUUAAGUCCCGCAACGAGCGCAACCCUUGUCCUUAGUUGCCAGCAUUAAGUUGGGCACUCUAAGGAGACCGCCGGUGACAAACCGGAGGAAGGUGGGGAUGACGUCAAGUCAUCAUGGCCUUUAUGGCCAGGGCUACACACGUGCUACAAUGGUAGAUACAGAGGGAAGCCAACUCGCGAGAGGGAGCCAAUCCCAGAAAAUCUAUCGUAGUCCGGAUCGGAGUCUGCAACUCGACUCCGUGAAGUCGGAAUCGCUAGUAAUCGCAGAUCAGCAUUGCUGCGGUGAAUACGUUCCCGGGUCUUGUACACACCGCCCGUCACACCAUGGGAGUUGAUUGCACCAGAAGCAGGUAGCCUGACCGCAAGGGGGGCGCCUACCACGGUGUGGUCAAUGACUGGGGUGAAGUCGUAACAAGGUA
rnacentral:rRNA from 1 species